AUGGGUAUGUUGGAAUGGGAGACAAAUUCCGUUAAGGCCGGAAGGGUUAGUAGCCGUGCAAGUUCAAGUCUUGCUACCUAUA
rnacentral:tRNA from 5 species